rnacentral:tRNA from 1 species
GGAGUUGUGGCUCAGAGGUAGAGCGCUUGCCUAGCAUGCAUGAGGCACUGAGUUAAAUCGUCACCACCA